rnacentral:rRNA from 1 species
CCUACGGGAGGCAGCAGUGGGGAAUUUUGGACAAUGGGCGCAAGCCUGAUCCAGCCAUGCCGCGUGCGGGAAGAAGGCCUUCGGGUUGUAAACCGCUUUUGUCAGGGAAGAAAUCCUUUGAGCUAAUACCUCGGGGGGAUGACGGUACCUGAAGAAUAAGCACCGGCUAACUACGUGCCAGCAGCCGCGGUAAUACGUAGGGUGCGAGCGUUAAUCGGAAUUACUGGGCGUAAAGCGUGCGCAGGCGGUCUUGCAAGACAGGUGUGAAAUCCCCGGGCUUAACCUGGGAACUGCACUUGUGACUGCAAGGCUGGAGUACGGCAGAGGGGGAUGGAAUUCCGCGUGUAGCAGUGAAAUGCGUAGAUAUGCGGAGGAACACCGAUGGCGAAGGCAAUCCCCUGGGCCUGUACUGACGCUCAUGCACGAAAGCGUGGGGAGCAAACAGGAUUAGAUACCCUGGUAGUCCACGCCCUAAACGAUGUCAACUGGUUGUUGGACGGCUUGCUGUUCAGUAACGAAGCUAACGCGUGAAGUUGACCGCCUGGGGAGUACGGCCGCAAGGUUGAAACUCGAAAGGAUUGACGG